rnacentral:lncRNA from 1 species
UACCUCCUCCAUAAAUCAGUUUCUCAAAGAGGGCGUCACAUUGGCUGCCGUUUCUUGCCCGAAAGCAAGAGUAAAAUUCCGACCCCUCUCCCUCUCCCUCUCCCUCUCGCUCUCGCUGAGCCCUAACCAGCUCCCCUCCCCCCCUGUCUCUCACCGAGCCUUGAGAGACCUCUCGCUCAGUCUCUCUGCUUGUUUAUACAGGUUUAAACUCUUGUACAUUAUAUACGUAGUUCUUCUCUCAAAAUCCAGUUAUCCAGUUUGUUGGUUUCAAGGGUUUCAUCGCAAGCAGAGGAGAGAAAGGAGAUAAAAAUUUGAAGAAGCCAUGACGAUGUUCCUUCUUUCCCCACAUUUGGCGUUUAUGCCCUGUAAGCUCCUGGUCUUUUAGUUUAUUUUUGUUUUGUUUUGUUUUGUCUUUUUUUUUUCAAUUUAGCUUCAUGAUCUUUCUAUCUAUGAUCAUGGCCUUCUAUAUAUAUAUAUAUUAAAUAUCGGUUUUCUCUCGUCAUUUGAUCUCUCUAUAUCUGAUCAUGGCUUUCUAUAUAUAUUAAAUAUCGGUUUUCUCUCGUCAUUUGAUCUCUCUAUAUCUGAUCAUAGCAUUCUAUAUAUACUAAAUAUCGGUUUUCUCUCUCUUCAUUUGAUUAUGGAAUGAUAUGCAUUUCUAUUUUGGGUUUUUUCUCUCUGUCUGAUUAUGGAAUCAUAUACAUUCUCUCUUUGUCUGAUUAUGGAAUCAUAUACAUUUAAAAUUUGACUUUCUGUUUAUAUGCCAGAAUAUGUAAUCUUGUACAUUUUAUUUAUUUUCUGAUAGAUAACUGCAACAUUUCAAUUCUGGGUUUUUCUCUCUCUUAUCUGAUUAUGGAAUUAUUUCCUCUGUUAUGGAACCCUAUAGAUUCUACUUUUCAAUAUGGAUUGAACCAAUGCUACUUGGAAGUGUUGGGGGUUUGGGAGACGUCUGAUGGAAGAUUUUGAUAAUUUUUUGUUGGUCGCUUCUUGUUCUAUCAAAAUCCUAAGCUUCCGAAGGUGCAAAUCUGGCCUGUUCAUCUCUUUCUCCUUCAAUCUUGUUUGUCCGGAUGUCUUUCGGCUCAUAUAACCAUUUUCACAUGCACACACGCAUAUAGAUCGGUUUCUAGGGUUCAAGACAGUCAACCAUUUUUUUUAUUUUGGUGAUAGCGUGUGUUUUACCAUCGAGAGAUCACUUUGUUUUGCAUGAUAGAUUUAAGUUCAAUUUCUUUCAAAUUAUCUACAUAUUAGGGUUUGUUAACAUAGUCAUGUGUGAGUCACUGAAUACAAAGUGACAUGAAUGGAAUGUAUGAAUUUAUUGGGAAUAUCUAAUAUUCAUUGUGAGUAUGUUCGAUUUACUGCUUUGGCUUUGCUUUCCAUGGAUUUAGUAUUUGAAGUUUGUGUCCAUAAGUUACUUGUGGCUUUUAUGCUUUUGUGUUUUUGUUUUCUUGGAUCUCGAGGAAGAUAUGUUAUGCCGUCGAAAGCAUCAGGCAUUAAGCUUCGUCAAUGAUUAAAUGUCGGCUGAUUAAUAUAGCCUUUUUCUUAAGAUUAUAUUUAUUUAUGAGCAAUCUCAAGUCUUUGUUUUUUAUUUUUAUAUACAGUUUUUUUAUAAGAUUUACGUUAUCCUUUUGUUAUUAUUGGCCUGAUGACUCAUAUUAUUCUAUUAUCAAAUGGUUCUGGAGCCAUCCAUAUGUUCAUAUUCAUUUGAUGUUUCUACAUGGUAAUAGAAAGAGAUAGAGUUCAGGGGUGUGUAAAGAGUUUAUGUUGGGUCUACUACUACCACAUGUUUAAAAUUUUGUUGGGAUUUAUUUGCAUUUCCUCUUCAUCACCCUUUGUCGUUUCAUUCUUAGUUUUAGAAAUAUGCUUAUUUUUUAUUCCUUGUAGAGUUCUUAUCAAGAUCGCAAAAGGAGGCCCACUUAACUUCUGAUGUCUGUGAAGGGCUCAAAAUUGAUCAAGGAAAUGCUGGUAAAAGCAUUGGAUAAGUUUCCAGAGAUAGGAAAGGCAUUCCUCCUUGCUUUGGACUGUCCAAUUUAUUUGUUUCAUAUUUUGAGAAGUUAUUUUCAUUGUUGAUUAUGCACAUGGGUGGUGUUGAUUGCUUAUAGUGGUGGGGUUUGUUGACUAAUGUUUAGUGAACUUGCAAAAAACAACUUUUAAUGUGGCCUUGUUAGUGUUUUAUGGUAGGAUUGAAUAGUGGUUUAAAACAAGGACUUGGGUUGGGACUCACCAGGGAGUUGAGCCCGAUUCAGGAAACUUGGGCUUGGCUGAGCUGAUUUUAUUACUUGAUGCCAGACAGACAAUGCCAAAUUGUUUGUGCAAUGCUUGAUUGUUUCUAGUGUUACUUGGACUCUUAUUGUUCUUUUUCCUUUUUUCCUUGUUUUCUUUAUUGUUUGUUAUUUUUAAUACCUUAGACUAUCAAAUUUAGAUUAGACUUGGGAAUUGGAUUAUGCUAGCUGCAAACAUACGGUGAAUUGCAUUUGUUUUAUACAAGGUUUAAAAAAAUGGAUCAGCAACCCGAAUCGUCCACUCCAAAAAUCGUGUCGAAUUGGUGUGUCGGAUCGGAGAAUUGGCCAAAUCGGCGAGUUUCAUCCCAAUUUAUUUUCAAAUAAUGCUAUAAAUCUCUAAAAAUAGUGUUCU